GGGCGUUUGGUCUAGUGG
rnacentral:siRNA from 1 species